rnacentral:rRNA from 1 species
UACGGAGAGUUUGAUCCUGGCUCAGGAUGAACGCUGGCGGUAUGCCUUACACAUGCAAGUCGUACGAGAGUUUUUAACUCUAGUGGCGGACGGGUGAGUAACACGUGGGAACCUGCCCUGGGGUCUGGGAUAGCUGCGGGAAACUGCAGGUAACACCGGAUGCGCCCUUUGGGGGAAAGUUUACGCCCUGGGAUGGGCCCGCGUCGGAUUAGGUAGUUGGUGGGGUAAUGGCCUACCAAGGCGACGACGGGUAGCCGGCCUGAGAGG